GGCAAUUUCUUGGUAACCCAAAGAGAGGCUUUAACGUUAACGUUAAAGUCUCGGAUUUUCUCGACAAAAAUUCGUUGGCGGAAAUUUUCUCGCGAAAUUUGGUUUCUGAAGGUUCGACCGUUCUCCAGUUUCUUCAUAUCACUGCGACUAACGCACGUUGAACGGUAUGAAAAGGAUACCAAAAGUUUACAUGCUUAAUCACCUGCACAGCGUGUAUGUAGUGAGCAAUCAUUGAAGAAAACGUUUUGCUCAUAUUGGUUAAAUCAUGGCAUAUAGAAGACUAACAAUCUGGUGAGCGCAAUGUUGUGGAAUUUCAUGUGCUGUUGAUGACAGUGGACACCGACCAACUUCUUUUGUCUUUUGUUUCAGUUUCUCCCCACCUAAUGCCACUCCAUCCUCGCUUGACCAGACAUUUUUUUGGCACAUCAAAAUGUGUAAAAAGCUGUACCAGAUGGGUUGAAAUUGAUAUCAGGUGAUCACCUUUUUUAGACAAGUAAAAAGGCAUAUGAGCAUGUGAUCAUGUUUUCUCAUACUCAUGUGGUGUAUAGGACAUAGAAAGAGAGUAAUGCAAACAGACAGGACAAACAUUCAAUAUAUGUCUCUCAUCGCCUUCCCAUCAAAUACAGAGUAGUAGAUGGUUUGCUCUGACACAAGAAAAAAAAUGACAGACUUAAUACAGAGAACUGAGGAAAUGCCUCUACCUCUUCCUCUGCUGAAUAAAACUGGCGACGGAUUAA